CUCUUAUUCAGAGUGGCGGAGGUACAUAGGACCUGUGAAACCACGGCAACCCCGUUAAUGGAAGGUGCCUGCCUGAGCGAGAUUUUCGAACAAUAAGGG
rnacentral:ncRNA from 2 species